rnacentral:rRNA from 1 species
CCUACGGGUGGCAGCAGUGGGGAAUAUUGGACAAUGGGGGCAACCCUGAUCCAGCCAUGCCGCGUGUGUGAAGAAGGCCCUCGGGUUGUAAAGCACUUUCAGUGAGGAAGAACGCCUGGUGGUUAAUACCCAUCAGGAAAGACAUCACUCACAGAAGAAGCACCGGCUAACUCCGUGCCAGCAGCCGCGGUAAUACGGAGGGUGUGAGCGUUAAUCGGAAUUACUGGGCGUAAAGCGCGCGUAGGUGGCUUGAUAAGCCGGUUGUGAAAGCCCCGGGCUCAACCUGGGAACGGCAUCCGGAACUGUCAAGCUAGAGUGCAGGAGAGGAAGGUAGAAUUCCCGGUGUAGCGGUGAAAUGCGUAGAGAUCGGGAGGAAUACCAGUGGCGAAGGCGGCCUUCUGGACUGACACUGACACUGAGGUGCGAAAGCGUGGGUAGCAAACAGGAUUAGAUACCCGUGUAGUC